CGCGACCCCAGGUCAGGCGGGGCUACCCGCUGAGUUUAAGCAUAUCAAUAAGCGGAGGAAAAGAAACUAACGAGGAUUCCCCUAUUAACGGCGAGAGAGCGGGGAAAAAUA
rnacentral:rRNA from 1 species